rnacentral:rRNA from 1 species
AGAGUUUGAUCCUGGCUCAGGACGAACGCUGGCGGCAUGCCUCACACAUGCAAGUCGAACGAUCCGGCACUCAACUAAGAGUUUAAAAAGAAGUAAUCUAUAGAAGAUAUUCCAAGGUAGAAAAUAGUGGAUAUCAACUAUUGAACUCUGAGUUGAGUGCCGGAUAGUGGCGGACGGGUGAGUAACACGUGGGCAACCUGCCCUACAGAUCGGGAUACCAUCGGGAAACUGAUGUUAAUACCGGAUACGUUCUAAGGAUCGCCUGAUUCUUAGAAGAAAGAUUUUAUCGCUGUAGGAUGGGCCCGCGGUCCAUUAGCUAGUUGGUAGGGUAACGGCCUACCAAGGCGACGAUGGAUAGCUGGUCUGAGAGGACGAUCAGCCACACUGGGACUGAGACACGGCCCAGACUCCUACGGGAGGCAGCAGUGGGGAAUAUUGCGCAAUGGGGGCAACCCUGACGCAGCAAUGCCGCGUGAAGGAUGAAGGCUUUCGGGUCGUAAACUUCUGUCUAGAGGGAUGAAUUUUUGACAGUACCUCUGGAGGAAGCCCCGGCUAACUACGUGCCAGCAGCCGCGGUAAUUC